GACGAACGCUGGCGGCGUGCUUAACACAUGCAAGUCGAACGGUAAGGCCCUUCGGGGUACACGAGUGGCGAACGGGUGAGUAACACGUGGGUGAUCUGCCCUGCACUUCGGGAUAAGCCUGGGAAACUGGGUCUAAUACCGGAUAGGACCACUGCCUGCAUGGGUGGUGGUGGAAAGCUUUUGCGGUGUGGGAUGGGACCGCGGCCGAUCAGCUUGUUGGUGGGGUGGUGGCCUACCAAGGCGACGACGGGUAGCCGGCCUGAGAGGGUGACCGGCCACACUGGGACUGAGAUACGGCCCAGACUCCUACGGGAGGCAGCAGUGGGGAAUAUUGCACAAUGGGCGCAAGCCUGAUGCAGCGACGCCGCGUGAGGGAUGACGGCCUUCGGGUUGUAAACCUCUUUCAGCACCGACGAAGCGCAAGUGACGGUAGGUGCAGAAGAAGGACCGGCCAACUACGUGCCAGCCGCCGCAGUAA
rnacentral:rRNA from 1 species